rnacentral:rRNA from 1 species
GUAGGUGGCAAGCGUUGUCCGGAAUUAUUGGGCGUAAAGCGCGCGCAGGCGGUUCUUUAAGUCUGAUGUGAAAGCCCACGGGCUCAACCGUGGAGGGUCAUUGGAAACUGGAGAACUUGAGUACAGAAGAGGAAAGCGGAAUUCCACGUGUAGCGGUGGAAUGCGUAGAGAUGUGGAGGAACACCAGUGGCGAAGGCGGCUUUCUGGUCUGUAACUGACGCUGAGGCGCGAAAGCGUGGGGAGCAAACAGGAUUAGAUACCCUGGUAGUCCACGCCGUAAACGAUGAGUGCUAAGUGUUAGGGGGUUUCCGCCCCUUAGUGCUGCAGCUAACGCAUUAAGCACUCCGCCUGGGGAGUACGGCCGCAAGGCUG